rnacentral:rRNA from 1 species
AUCUAUGGCCAUACCACCCUGAACGCGCCCGAUCUCGUCUGAUCUCGGAAGCUAAGCAGGGUCGGGCCUGGUUAGUACUUGGAUGGGAGACCUACCUUCACAUGGAGUAGCUGGUUGUCAGCUG